AUCCAGCUGACGAGUCCCAAAUAGGAUGAAACGCUUGUCCUGGAU
rfam:Schistosoma mansoni strain Puerto Rico chromosome 3, complete genome